rnacentral:lncRNA from 1 species
AGGCUGAUAAUGCUGAGGGCUCGAGCAAGGACAAAGGAAAGUCUAAGAUGAAAUGAUGAGAGUUAUUUAUGUAAUAAUUAUAUUUCUGCAUAUGAUGUGAUGUAGCGAUAAACGCUAAGUUUAAGUUUCAGUUUAUUAAAGGUUGUAAAGACUUGGGACUUUAUUUUGAAUAAGUAUGUAAUAGUUAAUAUUAUUAUUAUUAUUAUUAGAG